GAAUAGAUAAAUUUUUUAUAUUUUUCAUAAUUUAUUAUAAAUUUAUUUUACAUGUAAAUUUUAGUAUAAAAUUUUAAUUAUUUUAAAAAUAAUUAAUUUAAGUUAAACAGUAAUUAAAAUUAAAAAUUUAAGAAAUUAAGAUUUAGUAAUAUUUAAAUUAAUAACUAAUUUUGUGCCAGCAGUUGCGGUUAAACAAAAGUUAAAUUAAAUUAUUUCAGUUUAUAAUAAAUAAAUAGAUAUUAAAUUAAAUAUUAAAUUAUUAGGUGAAAUUUUAAUUUAAUUAAAAAUUAUUUUUAAUUUAUGAAUUAAUAAAUUUUAUUAUAAACUAGGAUUAGAUACCCUAUUAUUAAAAAUUUAAUUAAUUAUACUAAAAUAGUAGAUAAAAUAUUAUUGAAACUUAAAUAAUAUGGCGGUAUUUUAGUUCAUUUAGAGGAAUCUGUCUAAUAAUUGAUAAUCCACGAAUAAAUUUACUUAAUUUAUAAUUUUGUAUAUCAUUGUUAAAAAAAUAUUUUUAAAUAAAAAUAAUAUUUUAAAAUUUAAAAUAAAAUUUAAUUCAGAUCAAGAUGCAGAUUAUAAUUAAGUUUAAGAUGGAUUACAAAAAAUUUAUUUAAACGGAAAGAAUUUUGUAAAAUUUAAUUGAAGGUGGAUUUAAAUGUAAUUUUAAUUAAUUUAUUAAAAUGAUUUAAAAUUAAAAUAUGUACAUAUUGCCCGUCACUUUCAUUUAAAAAUUGAAAUAAGUCGUAACAAAGUAGAGGUACUGGAAAGUGUUUCUAGAAUGAA
rnacentral:ncRNA from 1 species